GUUUUAACAAUUCUUUUUCUUUUCAGUCUGUAAUGUUUUGCUUUCACUAUCAGUUUUGCUUCAGUGCUGAAGCGGUUUUUAAUGGAGCAGUUGGAUGGCCUUUCAAUUACGGAGGGUGAGGAAGAGGUGUGGCAAAUAGAUCUGGGGACGGGGGAUUCAGAACUGAGUUUUGAUCUCUGUCUAUUAGGGUGUUUCUUGACUGCUAUUGUUGUCUAGUUCCAAGCAAUAAGGAACACCAUGGCGAAUUUGUGACAUCCAAUGGGGGAGGUCCGAUAACAGAUUUGGGCGAGAAGCAGGCUCUGCUUUGAUUUUAUUAUGAAGUGGAUGUUGAUUGUGUUAUUGAUGGGAGUCCAUGGACAUUUAGUAAUCAUUUGCUUGUAUUACACCGAUUAGUGAAAGGUGAAGAUCAAAUACAAGUUCCCCUUUGUUUUGUGGAUUUUUAGGUUCAUAUCUUUGAUUUACCUUGUGGUUUGUAUUCAGAGAUAAUGGCGAAGCAAUGUGGAAACUUUAUUGGUAUAUUUGUAGACUGUGAUGCUAAAGCUAUUUCGAGAGGAUUUCACAGUCACAUGUGUGUUCGUGUUUGGUUGGAUAUUCGUUUGCCACUAAAUCAACGAAAAAAAUUGGUUAGAUCUCAAAAGUCCAAUUCCAAUAUGAACAGUCGUCUUUGUUUCGUUUUCUUUGUGGUCAUCUAGGACAUGGUGAAAGUUUUUGCCUCUAACGAGUGUAUUUAGGGAAGGAGAUUCUGAUGGAGUGGGAUAUUUCACUGCAAGUGGCUUCUCGCCAGGCGUUGACAGUGAAUAGUUGAUGGCUUCGAGAGGAGGGGAAUUUAAAUAUCCCGCUAUCAGGGGCGGGAUUUGGGGGGAGAAAUAGUGUUGAUUGUGUCAAUCCUGAUUUGAAUUUUGUGAGUAAUGUUAGCACAAAAUUAAGGAUAAACCUAAAGGGAUUUUCAAAUUUUAAGGAUGGUUUAGAUAAGAAAAAUCAAGUGCACCAUGAUGCAGAGAUGGAUGACUCGUGUGAAGAUGCUAAAGAGAGGCCCAUAGACUUUAUUGAUGGGAAAAAAAUGGUCUAGGACUUCUACUUCUGUAUCAAUUGUUCCUAAAGGUGGAAAUGUGGACAAUUUGCACUUUAUUCGGUCGACGAGCUCUGUUAUACAGACCUACUAGGAGCAAUGAAAAUCUUAAGCAGGAACAUCGUGGACUAGGGAAUCAACGAGCUGUUUGGAGACUUCAGCAUAUGUUGAGGAGUAACAAUCCCCAAAUUGUCUUUCUGAUUGAGACAAAAGUUACUACUAGGAGGAUGUAAAGUAUUAGAUGAAGUUGUGGUUUUAUAUUUGGGAUCGAGGUGGACGCCAUGGGUGCUAAAGGUUUCUAUGAGAAUCCAGAUGUGAGAUUUUGACCAGAAUAUUGGGAUUUGCUUCUUCAAUUGGGGUAGGAUCAUAGUUUACCAUGGCUUGCGUUGAGUGAUUUCAACAAGAUUAUUUUAUCAUCUUAAAAGAGCAUUGAUCAUGUUCGUAGUGAGUGAAGAAUGGAGGAGUCUAGGAGUGCUUUACAUGACUGUAAUUUGCUUGAUUUGGGCUAUCAGAGGGUAUGGUUUACAUGGGAACAUGAUCGUUUACCGCAUACAAACAUUAAAGAACAAUUGAAUUGUGCAAUGGGUACACCAUUGUGGAAGAGUUGUUUACCAAUUCAUCAGGUUUCCCACUUAUCUCACUCUAUUUCAGAUUAUUGUCCUCUUUUGAUUACUAUGUUAUCUUUGUUGACUAAUGAAGGGAAAAAUCGAUUCCAACUAUUCCAUUUUGAGGCAUGGUGGGUAUUGGAAUCAAGAUUGGAUGGCGCAGUUUCGUCUCGAUUGGCACUAUUAGGUGAUGGUCUAUGGUGUUGGGGGCAACUUGUGUCUAAGGGAGGUAUCGAGAUCUUCAUAGAUUGAGUGAUCACUCAUAGAAUUGAAUGGAAUGGAUCUGGUUGAUGAAGUUCUACCUAAGAUUUUAGAUGUUAAAGUGGCCUUAACAUGGAGAUUGAUAAAGAGUGUAAUAGCCUCUUUUUCAAUGGUAUUGGAAAUUGUAGUUUUAGAACUCCAUUUUCGUAGUCUGAGUCUGUAAAUCUUAUUAAUUAAUAUUUAUGAGGCUAAUAUAUAAAUAUAUUAAGGUGUGGUCUA